rnacentral:lncRNA from 1 species
CUUCGUUACUCAGGAGAAAAAAAGAGGGAGAGAGAGAGAGAAAAUCAAGUCGCAGCCGGCUUGGCCCGGUGUUGGGGGCGGUCGCGCGGAACGGUGAGGCUGUGAGAACUUCCCCAGCUGCUGACUGAAGUGGGAAGUGAGGUGUGAACUGAGACCCCGGGAGAGAGGCCCUCCGGGUAGGACCUGGCCUCGGACUGGCGGCGUAAAGGGUGGCCUUGCCACCGACUGAGAGUGGUUGAGCUGGCCUCUGGCCGAGUGUGGGGAGAGAGGCUUCACUUCUUUGUACACAUGUGCAGAGGCUAUGAAGUCCAGGAUUAAGGUGCUGGCCAAUUCAGUUUCUGGUGAAGACUCUUCUGGAGUUGCAGACUUCUGAGUUUAUCUUCAAAUGGCCUUUCCCCAGUGGGCGUAUGUGGGGAGAGGGGAGAGCCAUCCUGCCUGAAACUCAGGAAACACAAGGUCCCUGGUUGUGUAAUAUGAGUACACUUGAAAGUUCCUCGUCCUUAUCUGGCAACCCAGAUGGAUAAAUACUGGCCCUGAAGAUGCUUUUCUUAAAACUGAGCACAAGUGGCUGCAGAACAGAGCUUGGGAAGAACCAGUUAUUCUUCUGUCAGUUCAAAACUGGGGGCCCCUUCCCUCUAGCAUUCAUCCUCUGCUUGCCGGGGCAUAUCAAUUUCACCCAAAUCACGUGGACUAAGGUGGUGAUGGUGGGCUGUGGUAGGUAUGAUUUCCCCAAAGAAAAUUCAGAUGAAGUCACCAGAGGGAAGAAGGAAGAAUGGAUGUUUAUGCAAAAGACGCAGAUGUCCACAACAGUUCCCACAUGGGAAGAGAAUAAUCCAGGUUUAAGAGCCCUGGCUUGGGACCCCAGUGUCUGGGGAUGGAGUCCCAGCUCUACCAUUUACAAAUUGUGUGACCAUGGCUGGAUCAUGUCACCAGUCAGUAUGGGUCUGUGUCCCCAUUAACAAAUGGGAGUGAUGGUCCAGCAUUGUGGGCCUGAAUCAGAGUGACAGCACAUUGCAAAGGCACCAUGUAAGCUCCAGCAGGUGUGUCACAGCUACUUGUGGUGUCAUGAAAUCUGAAGUCUCUGAUCCAGUGAAUCAGCUUCUGAAUAUUUAAUCAAAGGAAAUUAAAACACUAACUCAGGAGUUCCCAUCAUGGUGCAGUGGUUAACGGAUCCGACUAGGAACCAUAAGGUUGCGAGUUCGAUCCCUGGCCUUGCUCAGUGGGUCGAGGAUCCAGCAUUGCCGUGAGCUGUGGUGUAAGUUGCAGACACGGCUGGGAUCCUGCGUUGCUGCGGCUCUGGCGUAGGCCGGUGGCUAUAGCUCCAAUUAGACCCCUAGCCUGGGAAUCUCCAUAUGCCGCUGGAGCGGCCCUAGAAAAAGGCAAAAAGACAAAACAAACAAACAAACAAACAAAAAAACACUAACUCAAAAAGGUAUCUGUACCCCCAUGUUCAUUGCAGCAUUAUUUACAAUAGCCAGGAUAUGCAAACAACCUAAGUGUCUAUUGAUGGAUGAAUCAAUAAAGAAAUGUGGUGUGUAUAUGUAAUGGAAUAUACUUCAGCCAUAGGAAAGAAUAAAAUUCUGCCAUUUUGCAACAACAUGGAUGAACCUUGAGGGCAUUAUGCUAAAUGAAAUGUCAGACAGAGAAAGACAAAUACCAUAUGAUCUUACUCAUAUAUGAAAUUAAAAAGAAAAACUAAGGUCAUAAAUACAAAAAGUAGAUUGGUGGUUGCCAAAGAUGGGGGGAUAGGAGAAUGGGCGAAAUGACUGAAGGGGGUCAAAAGGUAUAGACUUUCAGUUAUAAGAUAAAUAAGUCCUGGGAUAUAAUGUACAGCAUGGUGACUGUAGUUAACACUGUAUUGCACAUUUUAAUGUUUCUAAGAGAGUGGAUCUUAAAAAUUCAUCACAAGAGAAAAAAUUUAUAACUAUGUAUGGUAACAGAUAUUAACUACACUUAUUAUGGAGACCAUUUUUCAGUGUAUACAAAUAUUGAAUCAUGUUGUAUGCCUGAAAUUAUUAUAAUGUUAUAUGUCAAUUAUACCUAAAUAAAAAACAAAAU